GACGAACGCUGGCGGCGUGCCUAAUACAUGCAAGUAGGACGCAGUUGCGAACGGGUGAGUAACGCGUAGGUAACUACCUAUUAGAGGGGGAUAACUAUUGGAAACGAUAGCUAAUACCGCAUACUAGUAGAUGGACCUGCGUUGUAUUUGCUAGUAGGUUGGGUAAUGGCCUACCUAGGCAACGAUACAUAGCCGACCUGGGAGGGUGAUCGGCCAACAUGGGACUGGAACACCGGCCAGGAGCCCACGGGAGGGCAGAAUAGGGGAACUUCGGGAAUGGGGGGAACCCUGACCGAGCAACGCCGGGGGAGUGAAGGAGGUUUUCGGGUCGUAAAGCUCUGUUGUUAAGGGAGCGGUACUUAACCAGAAAGGGACGGCUAACUACGUGCCAGCAGCCGCGGUAAUAC
rnacentral:rRNA from 1 species